ACGUCAAAUCAUCAUGCCCCUUAUGACCUGGGCUACACACGUGCUACAAUGGACGGUACAAAGAGCUGCAAGACCGCGAGGUGGAGCUAAUCUCAUAAAACCGUUCUCAGUUCGGAUUGUAGGCUGCAACUCGCCUACAUGAAGCUGGAAUCGCUAGUAAUCGCGGAUCAGCAUGCCGCGGUGAAUACGUUCCCGGGCCUUGUACACACCGCCCGUCACACCACGAGAGUUUGUAACACCCGAAGUCGGUGGGGUAACCUUUUUGGAGCCAGCCGCCUAAGGUGGGACAGAUGAUUGGGGUGAAGUCGUAACAAGGUAGCCGUAUCGGAAGGUGCGGCUGGAUCACCUCCUUU
rnacentral:rRNA from 1 species